rnacentral:rRNA from 1 species
CAAUAGCGUAUAUUUAAGUUGUUGCAGUUAAAAAGCUCGUAGUUGGAUUUCGGUUAAGAGCGACCGGUCCGCCGUUUGGUGUGCACUGGUUGGUUUUAACUUCCUGUAGAGGACGUGCUCUGGGUUUAACGACCUGGACUCGGAGUCUACGUGGUUACUUUGAAAAAAUUAGAGUGUUCAAAGCGGGCUUACGCUUGAAUAUUUCAGCAUGGAAUAACACUAUAGGACUCCUGUCCUAUUUCGUUGGUCCCGGGACGGGAGUAAUGAUUAAGAGGAACAGUUGGGGGCAUUCGUAUUUCAUUGUCAGAGGUGAAAUUCUUGGAUUUAUGAAAGACGAACUUCUGCGAAANCANNNGCCAAGGAUGUUUUCAUNAA